UGAAUACGAGAUGCUACGGCGUCGAAGCAGUCUAUGUCAUACUUCCAAGAAAAGCUUGCACUGUCAUAAACAAAUAAUGCCUGUACCAUAACCGACACAGGUGGGUAGGUAGAGUAUACUAAGGGGCGCGAGAUAACUCUCUCUAAGGAACUCGGCAAAAUGACUCCGUAACUUCGGGAGAAGGAGUGCCUUAUUUAUAAGGUUGCAAUAACAAGAUCCAAGCAACUGUUUACCAAAAACACAGGUCUCCGCUAAGUCGUAAGACGAUGUAUGGGGGCUGACGCCUGCCCAGUGCCAGAAGGUUAAAGAAGUUGGUUAGCAUCCGCGAAGCUGAUAACUGAAGCCCUGGUGAACGGCGGCCGUAACGAUAACGGUCCUAAGGUAGCGAAAUUCCUUGUCGGGUAAGUUCCGACCCGCACGAAAGGCGUAAUGAUUUGGAUACUGUCUCGGAGAGGGGCUCGGUGAAAUAGACUUGUCUGUGAAGAUGCGGACUACCUGCACCAGGACAGAAAGACCCUAUGAAGCUUUACUGUAACCUGAAAUUGAAAUUGGACUUUACUUGCGCAGUAUAGGUGGGAGGCGUUGAGAAUAUUCUUGCGGGAUUAUUGGAGCCAUCAGUGGGAUACCACUCUUGUAAUGUUAGAUUUCUAACUUUGUAUCAUUAUCUGGUCAAAGAACAGUUUCAGGCGGGCAGUUUGACUGGGGCGGUCGCCUCCUAAACGGUAACGGAGGCGCACAAAGGUUUCCUCUGAACGGGUAGAAAUCGUAUCUAGAGUGUAAAGGCAUAAGGAAGCUUGACUGUGAGACCUACAAGUCGAGCAGGGACGAAAGUCGGUCUUAGUGAUCUGACGGUGCUGAGUGGAAAGGCCGUCACUCAACGGAUAAAAGUUACUCUAGGAUAACAGGCUGAUCUCCCCCAAGAGUUCACAUCGACGGGGGGGUUUGGCACCUCGAUGUCGGCUCAUCGCAUCCUGGGGCGGUAGUACGUCCCAAGGGUUGGGCUGUUCGCCCAUGGAAGCGGUACGCGAGCUGGGUUCAGAACGUCGUGAGACAGUUCGGUCCAUAUCCGGUGUAGGCGUUAGAAUAUUGAGAGGAGCCUUCUUUAGUACGAGAGGACCGAGAAGGACAUACCUCUGGUGUACCAGUUAUCGUGCCAACGGUAAACGCUGGGUAGCUAUGUGUGGAGUGGAUAACCGCUGAAAGCAUCUAAGUGGGAAGCCCACCUCAAGAUAAG
rnacentral:rRNA from 1 species